UUCGCAAUGCCCGAAAGGGUGACGAAGCGACGCCGCGUGAGCGAAGAAGGCCCUGGGGUUGUAAAGCUCUGUCGGGGGUUAUGAAAUGUAGGCUGGCUAAUACCCAGUUUAUUUGACAAAGGCCCCAAAGGAAGCCACGGCUAAUUCUGUGCCAGCAGCCGCGGUAAUACAGAGGUGGCAAGCGUUGUUCGGUAUUAUUGGGCGUAAAGAGCACGUAGGUGGUUUUGUAAGUCAGAUGUGAAAGCCUUCUGUUCAAAGGAAGAACGGCAUCUGAAACUGCAUAUCUUGAGUGUGGGAGGGGAGAGUGGAACUUCUGGUGGAGCGGUGAAAUGCGUAGAUAUCAGAAGGAACGUCGGCGGCGAAAGCGACUCUCUGGCCUAUUACUGACACUGAGUGUGCGAAAGUUAGGGGAGCAAACGGGAUUAGAUACCCCGGUAGUCCUAACUGUAAACGAUGGGCACUAAGUAGAGGGGUUUU
rnacentral:rRNA from 1 species